rnacentral:rRNA from 1 species
UGCAGUCGACGAUGAACCACUUCGGUGGGGAUUAGUGGCGAACGGGUGAGUAACACGUGGGCAAUCUGCCCUUCACUCUGGGACAAGCCCUGGAAACGGGGUCUAAUACCGGAUAACACUCCUGCCCGCAUGGGUGGGGGUUAAAAGCUCCGGCGGUGAAGGAUGAGCCCGCGGCCUAUCAGCUUGUUGGUGAGGUAGUGGCUCACCAAGGCGACGACGGGUAGCCGGCCUGAGAGGGCGACCGGCCACACUGGGACUGAGACACGGCCCAGACUCCUACGGGAGGCAGCAGUGGGGAAUAUUGCACAAUGGGCGAAAGCCUGAUGCAGCGACGCCCGCGUGAGGGAUGACGGCCUUCGGGUUGUAAACCUCUUUCAGCAGGGAAGAAGCGAAAGUGACGGUACCUGCAGAAGAAGCGCCGGCUAACUACGUGCCAGCAGCCGCGGUAAUACGUAGGGCGCAAGCGUUGUCCGGGAAUUAUUGGGCGUAAAGAGCUCGUAGGGCGGCUUGUCACGUCGGGUGUGAAAGCCCGGGGCUUAACCCCGGGUCUGCAUUCGGAUACGGGGCUAGCUAGAGUGUGGUAGGGGAGAUCGGAAUUCCUGGUGUAGCGGGUGAAAUGCGCAGAUAUCAGGAGGAACACGGGUGGCGAAGGCGGAUCUCUGGGCCAUUACUUGACGCUGAGGAGCGAAAGCGUGGGGAGCGAACAGGAUUAGAUACCCCUGUAGUC